rnacentral:rRNA from 1 species
AGCGAACGCUGGCGGCAGGCUUAACACAUGCAAGUCGAGCGGGCACUUCGGUGUCAGCGGCAGACGGGUGAGUAACACGUGGGAACGUACCCUUUGGUUCGGAAUAACGCUGGGAAACUAGCGCUAAUACCGGAUACGCCCUUUUGGGGAAAGGCUUGCUGCCGAAGGAUCGGCCCGCGUCUGAUUAGCUGGUUGGUGGGGUAAUGGCCUUCCAAGGCGGCGAUCGGUAGCUGGUCUGGGAGGAUGAUCAGCCACACUGGGACUGAGACACGGCCCAGACUCCUACGGGUGGCAGCAGUGGUGAUUAUUGGACACUGGGCGCAAGCCUGAGCCAGCCAGGCCGCGUGACUGAUGAAGGCCUUAGGGUUGUAAGGCUCUUUUGUCCGGGACGAUAAUGACGGUACCGGAAGAAUAGGCCCCGGCUAACUUCGU